rfam:Ciona savignyi cont_32086, whole genome shotgun sequence.
GUCGUCGUGGCCGAGUGUUAAGGCGACAGACUUGAAAUCUGUUGGGCUCUGCCCGCACAGGUUCGAAUCCUGUCGGCGACG